rnacentral:ncRNA from 2 species
UAAGUUCUUCGGGGCAGGGUGUGAUUCCCUACCGGCGGUAUAGUCCGCGAGCAUUUAUGCAUGAACCGGUGUGAUUCCGGUACCGACAGUAAAGUCUGGAUGAGAGAAGAAACGU